rnacentral:rRNA from 1 species
CGUAUGUCGCGAGCGUUAUCCGGAAUUAUUGGGCAUAAAGGGCAUCUAGGCGGCCGGGUAAGUCCGGGGUGAAAACUGCUGGCUCAACCAGCAGCCUGCCUUGGAAACUACCCGGCUUGAGUGCUGGAGAGGUGGACGGAACUGCACGAGUAGAGGUGAAAUUCGUAGAUAUGUGCAGGAAUGCCGAUGAUGAAGAUAGUUCACUGGACGGCAACUGACGCUGAAGUGCGAAAGCUAGGGAGCGAACAGGAUU